rnacentral:rRNA from 1 species
GAGUUUGAUCCUGGCUCAGGAUGAACGCUAGCGGCAGGCUUAACACAUGCAAGUCGAGGGGUAUAGUUCUUCGGAAUUAGAGACCGGCGCACGGGUGCGUAACGCGUAUGCAAUCUACCUUUCACAGAGGGAUAGCCCAGAGAAAUUUGGAUUAAUACCUCAUAGUAUAACGACUCUGCAUGGAGGUGUUAUUAAAGUCACAACGGUGAAAGAUGAGCAUGCGUCCCAUUAGCUAGUUGGUAAGGUAACGGCUUACCAAGGCUACGAUGGGUAGGGGUCCUGAGAGGGAGAUCCCCCACACUGGUACUGAGACACGGACCAGACUCCUACGGGAGGCAGCAGUGAGGAAUAUUGGACAAUGGGCGCAAGCCUGAUCCAGCCAUGCCGCGUGCAGGAUGACGGUCCUAUGGAUUGUAAACUGCUUUUGCACAGGAAGAAACAACGCUACGUGUAGCGUCUUGACGGUACUGUGAGAAUAAGGAUCGGCUAACUCCGUGCCAGCAGCCGCGGUAAUACGGAGGAUCCAAGCGUUAUCCGGAAUCAUUGGGUUUAAAGGGUCCGUAGGCGGUUUA